GUUCACAUCCAACACAAGAGCCAGCAACAAGCACCUGGCCAUGAAGCUGCUGGUGGUCUUCAUGCUUGCUGCCUUCCCCCUAUCCUGCUAUGCAGGUGCAGGUUGCCAAGAGUUGCAACGUGUGAUUGACUCAGCAAUUGAUCCAACCGUGUCUGUGACCAAGUACCAGGAAAUGAUGAUUCCUUAUGAUUCUUUUGUUUUCACCAUGAAUGCGGUGGGAGACAUGAAAGAAUGUUUUCUCAAGCAAUCUAAUGAAACUUUGGCCAAUGUGAAAGUGAUGAUGUGAGAAGAACUCAUUCCAAAUGGUCACUCAGGAGACUGAGAACAUUGUGCUCUGCAUCAGGCCCCCUUUGAAUGGUGAAAAGAAAUGGCUGUCAAAUAAUCUACACAUCAAGCAAGGUGUGGAUGGGCAACCAGAAACAGAGUUACCUCUCUGGCUCCUGGCGGUUUUUCCUUGUUCUUGUUUGUACCCCUCACCACCCUAAUCUGUUUACUUUGUAACAACCUCCGUUAUGGUGUUCCUCUACGUUUGUUUUCAAUU